UGGGGAAUAUUGGACAAUGGGGGAAACCCUGAUCCAGCAAUGCCGCGUGAGUGAAGAAGGCCUUAGGGUUGUAAAGCUCUUUCGCCCGCGAAGAUAAUGACGGUAGCGGGAGAAGAAGCCCCGGCUAACUCCGUGCCAGCAGCCGCGGUAAUACGGAGGGGGCUAGCGUUGUUCGGAAUUACUGGGCGUAAAGCGUACGUAGGCGGAUGCGCAAGUUGGGGGUGAAAUCCUGGGGCUUAACCUCGGAAUUGCCCUCAAAACUGCACGUCUUGAGGCCGAGAGAGGUAAGGGGAAUUCCGAGUGUAGAGGUGAAAUUCGUAGAUAUUAGGAAGAACACCAGUGGCGAAGGCGCCUUAUUGGCUCGGUACUGACGCUGAGGUACGAAAGCGUGGGGAGCAAACA
rnacentral:rRNA from 1 species